rnacentral:tRNA from 13 species
GUCUCUGUAGCUCAGCUGGAUAGAGCACCGCCCUCCUAAGGCGGGUUUUUGCGGGGGUUCGAAUCCCCCCAGGGACG